AGGAUGAAGUUAGAAAUAUUACAAAACACUGCAGAAAGAAAGACCUUGCUGAAGGACUUGCAUCGGCAAUUGAAACUCAUACAACUCUCUCUUCACCCAGAAAACAAUUUAUGUAAGAAACCGAGAGGGUGGUCAGAUGGAUUGUCUCAAGUUUUAUAUGAAGAUUUGAAUCCCUCUGUUGUCACCAGAGGUGGUUCAGGGACUAAUUUAGUAGCAGCCCAAGGUCCUGCUGAUAAGUCAAGCGUCUUAUGCAUAGAGGACAAAAACUGAAAGCACCAUCAUUGAAAUUUCGCAACAUUUUUAUCACUUAAUGUGUAGCAGAACGCAUUCAUUGGUCUCUUAUGUAUGGUUGUGACUUUGUUUUAGAUUUUUACUAAAAUGUUAGUUAAGUUUAUUACAUGGUUUUUGUUGUCA